rnacentral:rRNA from 1 species
UACGUAGGGUGCAAGCGUUAAUCGGAAUUACUGGGCGUAAAGCGUGCGCAGGCGGUUGUGCAAGACCGCUGUGAAAUCCCCGGGCUUAACCUGGGAAUGGCAUUGGUGACUGCACGGCUAGAGUGUGUCAGAGGGGGGUAGAAUUCCACGUGUAGCAGUGAAAUGCGUAGAGAUGCGGAGGAACACCGAUGGCGAAGGCAGCCCCCUGGGCCAACACUGACGCUCAGGCACGAAAGCGUGGGGAGCAAACAGG